UUGGAGGGCAAGUCUGGUGCCAGCAGCCGCGGUAAUUCCAGCUCCAAUAGCGUAUAUUAAAGUUGUUGCAGUUAAAAAGCUCGUAGUUGAAUUUCGGGGUUAAUAGGUUGGUCAUGCCUCUGGUAUGUACUGGUCUCACUGAUUCCUCCUUCCUGAUGAGCCGUAAUGCCAUUAAUUUGGUGUUGCGGGGAAUUUGGACUGUUACUUUGAAAAAAUUAGAGUGUUUAAAGCAAGCUAACGCUUGAAUACAUUAGCAUGGAAUAAUGAAAUAGGACGUUCGAUCCUAUUUUGUUGGUUUCUAGGAUUGACGUAAUGAUUAAUAGGGAUAGUUGGGGGCAUUAGUAUUCAAUUGUCAGAGGUGAAAUUCUUGGAUUUAUUGAAGACUAACUACUGCGAAAGCAUUUGCCAAGGAUGUUUUCAUUAAUCAAGAACGAAAGUUAGGGGAUCGAAGACGAUCAGAUACCGUCGUAGUCUUAACCAUAAACUAUGCCGACUAGGGAUCGGAUGAUGUUAAUUUUUUAAUGACUCAUUCGGCGCCUUACGGGAAAC
rnacentral:rRNA from 1 species